GGCCAGUGCUACUACAAUGGAAGUAACAAUUUAGUUUGAAGACAGGUCGAAUAUAUGCAAUAUAUAGAUUUUAAAUUCCUUCAGUGCUGCACACACCACACCAAAAUUAUAUAUUUGAUAAUUGAUGACGUACUUCCAAAACUAUUUGCGCACGGGGAGGCAAUAGAAGCAUUGGAACGAGAGGACAGGACACCAUGGUUACAGUUCGUCUGCCACUUUUCUAAUGCGGUAGCUAGUUUGAGAGGAUUACGGAGCUCGUGAAUGCUUUUCAUAAAUAACGGGAACAUUAACUAAAGAUACAACUUCAAGAACAUGGCCCAGAUAGAACAAUGAGACAGAUAUUCCACCGGAUGUAUAAAUGUGAAGCAUCCGGUUGACAUUUCCACUCACUACCAAAUAUGGUAGUGAGAGGACGCCCAGUGGCCGGCAGUGGGAGACGAUGGAACAAAAUGGAUUUUGGUCCACAUGCUGCGAAUUUACUCAUCGAUUAAACAUUUGAUCUUAAUUCAGUUUUCUGUUCCCAAAACUAUAAUCUGUUAUGAACAGAGUGGACUAAGUUUUUUUGUAUACUUUUUUGUAAACUACCAUUUGCCAAAGUAAAAAAAAAAAGUGUUGUUUAGAAGGCGUACAAAGGCGAAUUGAGCUAUUGCACACCGCACUUUACAGAGUAGGCGUUCCCUAACAGAAAUAUGCAAAUGAAUGCUAGAAUGCGCCAAUAGGAUCUCGCUAGCUUGUGCUUGGCUCUUCCCACCUCCUUGCUUGUUCUGCCCACUAUGGCUCAUUUGUUCCCAUUUGAAAUGGCAGGUUGUGGUCUAUCUUGGUUUAGUUAUAAAAAUCUUUGAUGAUGGUAUCCGGUUGCUAAGCAACUGUUUUUUGUUUGACGACAUGCUUUAGUCUGGACAACAUUUUUACUGAUGAGGUUACCUGUUUAAUAAUGGGUUACCUGUUUACCUGUUACCUGCUACCUCCUGGUAUUGUAUUUCACCUAAAGUGACAUGUACAGGGCAGGUUUCCUGUCACGUUUCUAAACAUUGACAAUAAACAGUAAAUUGGCACAUAUUUUCACCACUUUUCUACAAAAAAUGUGAAGGGUAUGGCAUCUUUAGGCAAUUUUCCAGACCCCCUCAAACAUUUUAAGCUAUCAUUGGGCUGUAGAGUGGAGCCCUCAAGAGUGGAGCAGCAUACUACUGAUAUGAACUUUAUCAACCAAGUUAAUUUCACCUGUUGACUCUCUCAAUGCCACACAUUUGUUACUAAUUAUCAAGACUGCUCUGAUAACCUUUAGUUUGUAUUUAAAUCUUGCCAAGCCAUUCCUCAGUUUAUAUCCAGUUGUGUGCAUCACAGUUAAGAGUACAUUUAUUUCCUAUUUUCCAUUUAUAGUUUAGUUGUCAUAACAUUAAGAUGUCAUGUAAUUUCCUUAUUUUCAUUACUUGAGAUGUAUCAUCCUUAUCACCUUUACCAUUUCCGUUAUGCAACCUGAUUAUAAUGUAUCUUCUUUGUUGCAGAACCACACACAAAUCCAACUUUACCAUGUCCAACCACAAGUCCUUAGUAAAUAUGUGAACUUUGGCACCGUGUCUGUUCUCUGAUUGCUCUCUGACCGGAGCCCCUAGUGACAUCUAUCCAACCAAUUAUCUAUCUUGGGUCUCUUAGCCUAUUUUCCAAUGGCCAUAUUGGAAAUCACUGCCAGGAGGGUAAUGGACAAAAUCUGCAAUCGCACUAUAGCCAAAAAUACUUAUUUAGACAUGCCAUUGCUGUGUGAAUUGGAUGGCUCUAUCACAAAUUCCAAAACAUUUUC
rnacentral:lncRNA from 1 species